rnacentral:tmRNA from 1 species
GGGGCCUUAAUGGUUUCGACGUGUUGGCGAAAGCUGCACCGUGAUACAGGUCGAGAGUGAGUCUCCUCUCGUAAAUCCAAGGCUCAAACAAAAAAGUAAAUGCGAACAACAUCGUAAACUUCCAGCGUCAAGAGGCUCUCGUAGCCUAAAAAUUACUAUCUAAGUAAGACGCUACUUACAGUUCGACUCCGUUAAGGAUUGUGAGUUUAACCCCAACGGAUGCACCAAUAAUUUGCCUCUGGUCAAUGAGUUGGUAAAGACCUUACCAGAGAAUCCCACCAUCGGGGAUAAGUGAUGGUUCCCGCCUUGAGGGCAAGAUAGGCUAAACCUGUGAAGGAUCGGUAAGUCAAUACCCAGUGCGGACACGGGUUCAAUUCCCGUAGGCUCCAUUU